GACGAACGCUGGCGGCGUGCUUAACACAUGCAAGUCGAACGGAAAGGCCCUGCUUUUGUGGGGUGCUCGAGUGGCGAACGGGUGAGUAACACGUGAGUAACCUGCCCUUGACUUUGGGAUAACUUCAGGAAACUGGGGCUAAUACCGGAUAGGAGCUCCUGCUGCAUGGUGGGGGUUGGAAAGUUUCGGCGGUUGGGGAUGGACUCGCGGCUUAUCAGCUUGUUGGUGGGGUAGUGGCUUACCAAGGCUUUGACGGGUAGCCGGCCUGAGAGGGUGACCGGCCACAUUGGGACUGAGAUACGGCCCAGACGCCUACGGGAGGCAGCAGGGGAGAAUAUUGCACAAUGGGCGGAAGCCUGAUGCAGCAACGCCGCGUGCGGGAUGACGGCCUUCGGGGUGUAAACCGCUGUCGACUGUGACGAAGCGUGAGUGACGGUAAUGGGUAAAGAAGCACCGGCUAACUACGUG
rnacentral:rRNA from 1 species